UGCCCGAAAGGGUGACGAUGCGACGCCGCGUGAGCGAAGAAGGCCCUAGGGUUGUAAAGCUCUGUCAGGGGUUAAGAAAUGUAGAUAGGUUAAUACCCUGUUUAUUUGACAAAAGCCCCAAAGGAAGCCACGGCUAACUCUGUGCCAGCAGCCGCGGUAAUACAGAGGUGGCAAGCGUUGUUCGGUAUUAUUGGGCGUAAAGAGCACGUAGGUGGUUUUGUAAGUCAGAUGUGAAAGCCUUCUGUUCAAAGAAAGAACGGCAUCUGAAACUGCAAAUCUUGAGUGUAGGAGGGGGGAGUGGAACUUCUGGUGGAGCGGUGAAAUGCGUAGAUAUCAGAAGGAACGUCGGCGGCGAAAGCGACUCUCUGGCCUAUUACUGACACUGAGUGUGCGAAAGUCAGGGGAGCAAACGGGAUUAGAUACCCCGGUAGUCCUAACCGUAAACGAUGGGCACUAAGUAGAGGGGU
rnacentral:rRNA from 1 species